AAUAGGAUGCGGGAAUAAACUUUGGUUGUCCCGUUAUCGCUUCUUAGAGGGACUUUGCGGUUAUAAAUCGCAAGGAAGUUUAAGGCAAUAACAGGUCUGUGAUGCCCUUAGAUGUCCUGGGCCGCACGCGCGCUACACUGAUGCGUUCAUCGAGUUUAUCCUUGGCCGAGAGGCCCGGGUAAUCUUUAGUACGCAUCGUGAUGGGGAUCGAUUAUUGCAAUUAUUAAUCGUGAACGAGGAAUGCCUAGUAUGCGCAAGUCAUCAGCUUGUGCAGAUUACGUCCCUGCCCUUUGUACACACCGCCCGUCG
rnacentral:rRNA from 1 species